AACCUAUAGUGAGGGCACCUUCUCAACAAAUCCUUGUAUCUCUCCUAUGCAUCGUAGAGUGUUUCUAAAUCCAUCUGCACGAAAGAAUAGAUAUCAUUAUGUAAUUU
rfam:Gossypium hirsutum cultivar TM-1 chromosome 23, whole genome shotgun sequence